AUGCUCUCAGGGAGGCUGCAGGUCCCAGGGGACCUUAGUGGGAGGUGUACUGGGUCUGGUCCAAGACAGCUGCAGAAGGUCAGGUUACAGCAGAUGGGUCACAUGCUCCAGCCUGGACAGGCCAAGGAUCUGGCACAUUCUCUGCCCAGCCUUUCCCCAUCACUGCUGCAGCAUGCCGCAGCCUGUGCUCUGGAUGGCCCUGGCUCCUCUGCUAGCCGCCCUCAAUGCAGGGAUGGUCACCUUCUCUCCCUGCAGUGGGGCCCACUGCACCAUCCUGUGCCUCAUCACCCGCUCGCCAGGCCAGCACUCCGUGGAGAGAAGCUGCGUGCCAUGCCCCUUUGGCUUUUGGUGUUUGGGUGGCAGGACAACUCUGCAGCCAUGCCCCACCUGCCGAACCUGCGCUGAGCUCCCAGGACUCAUAGACAGCAAGGAGUGCCAGUGGUGCCUGACUAGACAGAAGCCAAGCUCGCAGAAUGCUGGCUACGUCUUCUGCCCCCUGGGAUACUUCUUCACAGACAGAGGCCCCAGCUGCCAGCCCUUCCCCACAGGUAGGUGAGAGCGGGCUGGGGACCUGAAUGACGUUUGGGAAGAACUGGCACAGGUUGGCCCAGGAGAGUGCUGGGGGUCCAUAGUGCUCGGAUUGGCCUGUGUGCCCCGGGGAGUCCAGGUGGUUUCUGAGGGGCGGAGUUCAGCUAUCCCCGAGCCCCAAACACACACCCAAAGGGCUGUGGGGAGAAUGAAAUGAGACAACUCAGAGGGAUGGAAGCAUGCAGAGGGGUGAAGGGCGUGAGCAUCAGAAGAUGGUCCAAGAGCUGGCUCUGCUCUUUAACUGGGCGUGUGAUCUUGACAGCGUUGUACAGUUUAUUGUGGGCAGGGCCUGCUACGUAUAUUUUGUUAAAUUUAUCUCCAAGCAUUUCAUGGUUCGAGAUGUUAUUGUAAGUGGAGUUGUAUUUUUUAUUUCAAUUUCCAAUUGUUUGUAGCUAAUAUUGAUUUUUUCCAUUUUUUUUAUUGUGGUAAAAUACAUAUAAAACUUAGCAUCUUACCCAUUUUUCAAUGUGC
rnacentral:lncRNA from 1 species